AUCAUCUACCACCUCCAACCCUUUAUCAGUAUUGAAUAAACUCAUAAAUUAUGAAAGUUACCAUGCUAGAACUAGUAACAAGAAUAUGAACUUCUCCAAAGCGUAAGCAAAAACCAAAAUGGACAAUCCAUUGGUAAUUAACGACUCUGAGCCCAUUAUAGUAAAUUUUCUAGAAAAUCCUAUAUACAACAUCGUCAACCUUACACAAGAGCCCUUCCGGAAAGAUUAAAAGGAAGAGAAGGAACUCGGCAAAUUUUAAUCCCGCCUGUUUACCAAAAACAUCGCCUCUUGCCUAAAUAUAAGAGGUCCAGCCUGCCCAGUGUUUCAAUCAACGGCCGCGUGAUUUAAGCGCGCGAAGGUAGCGUAAUCAUUUGUUCUUUAAAUGAGGACUUGUAUCAAUGGCAUCACGAGGAUUAUACUGUCUCCUCUCCCCAAUCAGUGAAACUAAUCCCCCUGUGAAAAAGCAGGGAUAAAACUAUAAGACGAGAAGACCCCAUGGAGCUUUAAACACGGCAGCAACCCUAAUAAUAUAAUCAACAUAAUUUUAAGCCCUGUUUGCCAGUUUUAGGUUGGGGUGACCGCGGAGCAAAACAAAACCUCCACAACGAAAAGGAACUACACCCUUAUUUAAGACACACCCAUCUAAAAAUUAUUAAAAUAACGUCUAAUGAUCCGACUAUCGACCAACGGACCAAGUUACCCUGGGGAUAACAGCGCAAUCCACUCUGAGAGCCCCUAUCGACGAGUGGGCUUACGACCUCGAUGUUGGAUCAGGAUAUCCAAGUGGUGCAGCCGCUACUAAAGG
rnacentral:rRNA from 1 species